GUUGCUAUUUGAAAAUCAAAAAUUGAUAAAUGGAUAUUACAUAAUACAUCGUAUACGAAAUAAGCGUAAAAAUGUUGAAUACAUUGUAAAAAUAAGGCCAUUAAACGAUUCCGUUAUGACUAAAAAGGUUACCAAUAUCAAUUUUACCCAAAAAAUCAUAUAAUUGCUGGUUCGAGUUAAAAAAAAAUCACCCUGUAAUUUGUACACCGUGUAAAUAAUAUUGUAUAGUACGACUGUUGUGUAUGAAAAUCGAAUUUGACUUAUUUGUUCAUUAGGAACUAUUGUAAGCGAAUUGACGG